rnacentral:snoRNA from 1 species
AGGCAUUGCAGUUGUGGCCGCUAUAUCACAUGUUUGUCAGUAGGUGGCAGAGGAGAGGCUAUGUCCACCUCAGUGUUCUGACUUGUGAACUUCUGAAUGAUUU